UGGAUAUUAGUUAAUUUAAUAACAAUUAAUUUGCAAUUAAUAAUAAUUUAUAAAACAAAUAUAUCUAA
rnacentral:tRNA from 1 species